UACGUAGGGUGCAAGCGUUAAUCGGAAUUACUGGGCGUAAAGCGUGCGCAGGCGGUUGUGCAAGACAGAUGUGAAAUCCCCGGGCUUAACCUGGGAAUUGCAUUUGUGACUGCACGGCUAGAGUGUGUUAGAGGGGGGUAGAAUUCCACGUGUAGCAGUGAAAUGCGUAGAGAUGUGGAGGAAUACCGAUGGCGAAGGCAGCCCCCUGGGAUAACACUGACGCUCAUGCACGAAAGCGUGGGGAGCAAACAGG
rnacentral:rRNA from 1 species